CGGUGUUCAACUGGCGUGUCCGCGGGACGUCCUGCCGGUGGGCUUAGCCCGCAAGGGCGGCCCAACUUCAAAUCCCAUCGCGGUGCUCUUCACUGAGUGUCGAGGUGGGCCGGCACGUUUACUUUGAACAAAUUAGAGUGCUUAAAGCAGGCUAAAACUUCGCCUGAAUACUGUGUGCAUGGAAUAAUGGAAUAGGACCUCGGUUCUAUUUUGUUGGUUUUCGGAACCCCGAGGUAAUGAUUAAUAGGAACGGAUGGGGGCAUUCGUAUUGCGACGUUAGAGGUGAAAUUCUUGGAUCGUCGCAAGACGGACAGAAGCGAAAGCAUUUGCCAAAAACGCUUUCAUUGAUCAAGAACGAAAGUUAGAGGUUCGAAGGCGAUCAGAUACCGCCCUAGUUCUAACCAUAAACGAUGCCAGCUAGCGAUCCGUCGACGUUCCUCCGAUGACUCGACGGGCAGCUUCCGGGAAACCAAAGCUUUUGGGUUCCGGGGGAAGUAUGGUUGCAAAGCUGAAACUUAAAGGAAUUGACGGAAGGGCACCACCAGGAGUGGAGCCUGCGGCUUAAUUUGACUCAACACGGGAAACCUCACCAGGCCCGGACACCGGAAGGAUUGACAGAUUGAGAGCUCUUUCUUGAUUCGGUGGGUGGUGGUGCAUGGCCGUUCUUAGUUGGUGGAGCGAUUUGUCUGGUUAAUUCCGAUAACGAACGAGACUCUAGCCUGCUAACUAGGCGUAUUUUCGACAUCUCAAAGGUCCGUCGUCCCGGCCCUCGGGUCGUGGGCGUGCGCGAUUUUUACUGUCGGCGUACUAUCAAUUCUUCUUAGAGGGACAGGUGGCUUCUAGCCGCACGAGCAUUGAGCAAUGACAGGUCUGUGAUG
rnacentral:rRNA from 1 species